rnacentral:tRNA from 1 species
UGGUAUCAAACUCAGUGGGUAAAGUGGUUGUCUGAUGUGCAGAAAGCCCUGGGUUCGAUCCCCAGUAUGCCAU